UGGCUAAGGAGAUUGUUAAAGCCAAUGGAUUCUCUGAUGUGAUAACGGUUUUGAAAGGGAAGAUUGAGGAGAUAUAGCUUCCUAUUCCUAAAGUGGAUGUGAUUAUAUCCGAAUGGAUGGGUUACUUUUUGUUGUUUGAGAAUAUGUUGGAUAGUGUCUUAUUCGCUCGCAAUAAAUGGCUUGUAAGUUACACCUCUCCACAUUGUUACAUGUGAUUCAUGUCCUUGUUAUAAGCAUUUAUCUGGAAUUUAAAAAAAAAAAUACUUGCUCCUUUGGUAUCAUUGAUAGGUUGAUGGCGGAGUUGUGCUACCAGACAAAGCCUCUUUGUUUCUUACAGCUAUAGAAGAUUCUGAGUAUAAAGAAGACAAAAUUGAAUUUUGGAACAGUGUGUAUGGUUUUGACAUGUCAUGCAUCAAGAAAAAGGCUAUGAUGGAGCCGCUUGUUGAUACCGUCGACCCAAAACAGAUCGUUACCGAUAGUAAGCUACUUAAG